rnacentral:rRNA from 1 species
GACGAACGCUGGCGGCGUGCUUAACACAUGCAAGUCGAACGGAAAGGCCCUGCUUUUGUGGGGUGCUCGAGUGGCGAACGGGUGAGUAACACGUGAGUAACCUGCCCUUGACUUUGGGAUAACUUCAGGAAACUGGGGCUAAUACCGGAUAGGAGCUCCUGCUGCAUGGUGGGGGUUGGAAAGUUUCGGCGGUUGGGGAUGGACUCGCGGCUUAUCAGCUUGUUGGUGGGGUAGUGGCUGACCAAGGCUGUGACGGGUAGCCGGCCUGAGAGGGUGACCGGCCACAUUGGGACUGAGAUACGGCCCAGACUCCUACGGGAGGCAGCAGUGGGGAAUAUUGCACAAUGGGCGGAAGCCUGAUGCAGCAACGCCGCGUGCGGGAUGACGGCCUUCGGGUUGUAAACCGCUUUCGCCUGUGACGAAGCGUGAGUGACGGUAAUGAGUAAAGAAGCACCGGCUAACUACGUG